rnacentral:lncRNA from 1 species
AAGGCUCAUCUGCAGGUUUUUUGAAAUUAGUAGAUCCACCAUCGGAUGAAAGUGAAAGUGACGAGGAGACCGCUGAAUAUUUUUCAGACAUAUUAAGAGGAUUCAGUGAAAGUGAUGACAUUUUGGAAUGUUUACACAACAAACAUGACAACGCAUAUAUUUAUAAUGUAGAACAAGGUACAAUUGAACAGAGAGAUAAUCCUGAAUGGCAAAAACAUCAGUGAACAUAGAAAAUGUAGAAUAACUGCAUCCGUGAUUUCUAACAUUAUGAAAUGUAACUUCGAUCAACUAAGUUCAAAUCAUUACUUGGUAAAAAAACUUUCUUGGAACAUCAAUAUCUUUCCGCUCAGAUGCAACAGAAUUUGGAAUUAAGAUGGAAAAGGUUGCAAAAACACAAUACUUUGACAGGUUCAAGACUCAUCACAAGAAAAGCAGCUUUAAAGAUUGUGGUUUAUUUGUGUCAAAAGCAAGCCCAUUCUAAUUAGGUGUUAGUCCUGAUGGUGUUGUUAAGUGUAAAUGCUGUGGUACACGUCUUGUGGAAAUUAAAUGUACAUUUAAAUAUGCUGACAAAACACCAAUGGAAGUGGCUAAUUCACAAACUUAUCACGUUCAAAACAUAAAUGGUGAAAUUAAACUAAAAACAUCUUCACCAUGGUACUAUCAGAUUCAGACGCAACUAGGAGUGUGUGGCAGGGACAUUUGUGAUUUUGUUUUGUUUACUUCAAAAGUACUAUUUCAGUUGAGACUUAAGUUUGAUCCUGAUUUUUACAAGCAGAUUGUGGACAGGUCUCAUGUGUUCUUUGACAUUGUAUUUCAUAAUUAUUUUAAUUAAAUAAUGAAUAUGCAUUAAACUCA